CCUACGGGAGGCAGCAGUGGGGAAUAUUGGGCAAUGGGCGCAAGCCUGACCCAGCAACGCCGCGUGAAGGAAGAAGGCUUUCGGGUUGUAAACUUCUUUUCUCAGGGACGAAGCAAGUGACGGUACCUGAGGAAUAAGCCACGGCUAACUACGGGCCAGCAGCCGCGGGAAUACGUAGGUGGCAAGCGUUAUCCGGAUUUACUGGGUGUAAAGGGCGUGUAGGCGGGAAAGCAAGUCAGAUGUGAAAACCAUGGGCUCAACCGGUGGCCUGCAUUUGAAACUGUUUUUCUUGAGUACUGGGGUGGCAGACGGACUUCCUAGUGUAGCGGUGACAUGCGUAGAUAUUAGGCGGAACCCCAGUGGCGACGGCGGUCUGCUGGACAGCAACUGACGCUGCGGCGCGAAAGCGUGGGGAGCAAACAGGAUUAGAUACCCCUGUAGUC
rnacentral:rRNA from 1 species